GCUUUAAAUAUUGGCAGUUGUAUAUAUGUAUAUUUAUUUUUAUAGUUUUAAGUAUUAUACUAUUAUAGGGGUAUUCUCUUGCUCUUGCAAGAUUGCAGAUUGCAAAAAUACUACACCGAAAUAUACAAGGGCACGAGAGCACCCAUUGCAGAAUCUAGUGAUAUAUGAGCGACUGAUUCAGUCAAUUUAUUGUAAAUGACUAUUGUGCAUGGCUAUUGUGAAUUGGCGCACCUUCUCCAUGCAUUUUUAACAAAAAAACUGUAACAAAACUUUAUAAUUUAAAUAGAAAUUAUAAAAUCUAAUUAAAAUUUACCUUUCUCAACAGUUUAACGACGUAAUAUGUCUUUAUGUAAAAUGGCAACUACAACAGGGUUGCAAUUUUAUUUUUGCGUGACAUUGCACGCUAAUAUACAUAUUUCACAGCCCUUGCAAAUAUUUUUCUGCGUGUGUUUGUUGUUGUGCCGUUGUAAAUCUGCAAUGCUUGCACCGUGCACCGGGUUUUGCAAGAGCAAGAGAAUACCCCUUAUGUGAUAUGAAGUGAUAUUGUUUUUGUUAUUUUUUAUACUAUUAUAUAUGAAUUGUUAUUGUUUUGCUUUUUUUUCAUUUUUUUAUGUAAAUAAAUUUUUAAUGGGUGAAAAUAACUUCGGUAAUGCGCCCUUUUGCAUACCUCAUAGGUGGUGUGGAAAAUGCGAAUUGGGUGUUUUAAUUAAAAUGCCCAAAAAAUAGCUUUUUUUCUGAUCUGGCUACAAUGAAAAAUGUCAUAAAAAACGCAAAUUUUGAGGCGCUCUCACACUGGAAUAAGUUGGACAUCCCUUUAUUCCUGGUAGCGUUUUACCAUAGAUAACUUGAUACGAGACUCUUUGGUUCGAGAGAGAGCUGUCAAAACUCGCAUUUUUUAUACCAUUUGCCAAUGAUGCCAUUAAUUAAUUUACAUAAACAUUUAUUUUGCCAAAAUAUGUUCGCACAGUUCAAUGAAAUUUCAUUUCACAAUAAUUUCGUUAAGUAAUUUUAGCGCUGCUCUUCUGGCAUCCCGCUUUUUUGACUAACUGCUGAUUGGCGUCACCCUGAUUGUGUUUUGUUGCCAGCUUAGAAAACAAAUCAGGGUGCCCUGCCAGCUGACAAGCGAGAGAGAAAGAAAAGAGAUUCUGAUCAAGUUAUCUAUGGUUUUACACUGUUCAGUUACAUUCAGAGAUAACAGGGAUAAUAUCCCUGUGAGAUAAUAUCCCUGGUUACAUUGCGCGCCCAUAAGAUAGGUCGUCCCAGCUGACACGACCCACGAUUCUGCGUUAUUCACUAACCAGCCUAUUAGACUCUUCCAGCUCUUAAAGACAAUAUCCGUCAAGAAUGUGAGGACCUAUCGCGUCGCAAGUUCUGGACAAAGUGAUGGGAAAAUGCCAUAAAAAGCGCUCAAAUAACAAUCAACAUCAUAUCACAAUCUCGACUUGAUGCAAAAAAAUUUAAAGGACCAAAUAAUAAUAAUCCACAAGCAGAAUCAGUUUUUCAUUUUCCAAAAAACUUCGGAAGGUAAUUUUUGCGCCACCUGUUAUAUAUGUACAUUCUUCAUCUGGAGGGCCUCCUAUAUCCGUACAUACCCAUUUUAACAACGAAAUCAGGGGAUGCUAUUCCAAAAUUUACCGAAGGUAUACAUCUCGAAAGUCUCAUAACAACCACUGAGUUUUUAUAAUCCAUUACACAAAUGAUUGCACGAAUUUUUACGCUUUUUCCUGCAAGAAGCCUAAAAUUAUUAUUGACCAAAUCCUCGCCUACUCUAUUCGAUUGGCGUACUUGCGAGUUGAAAUGUUUCUUCUGGGCAUUGUAGAUCAAUCUCCCAUCUGUUCAGAAUAGAUCAUGACAUACAAAAUCUAUGUCCUAGUUGCCCAAUGAAACCACCUAACUUAACAUCCAUCGGCCGAAAUAGCUCGUUUAGUAAUUUCGGUAACAGCAAAAGUUAUUACGUUCCCCACUUAGGGUACAAAUAUGUGCUCCAACAACGUGACUCGGAAACACAUUUUUGCAUUCAAUACUUUCUUCAUUAUAGUCAGACCCUGCCGAAAGAGCACGUUCCAUUGGUUUUGCCUUAAAUGAGUUUGAUGUUUUCAUCACAUGCAUAUCAAAUAACGCGAUGCGAAUUAUUUUUAAUUUUUUUCCUUAUUCAUAUAACAAUUCAUACAUGCACGAGUUGUAAACCAAGAUUCCGGUAUUACCUAUAGAAAAAUUUGACAAAGUCCAACAACAUCUUGUAUAUUGUUUAAACAAACUUGAUAGAAAUGUUUAUUUAUCUUCUGGUUUAGAAAAUACGAACGUUAGUUGGCAUUUUCCGCAGUAAUGACGAUCUUCAUGAGCUGCCAUGAA